rnacentral:rRNA from 1 species
GAGUUUGAUCGUGGCUCAGGGCGAACGCUGGCGGCGUGCCUAACACAUGCAAGUCGAACGAGGCCAUCCUUUCGGGGAUGAGUCGAGUGGCGGACGGGUGAGUAACACGUAAGCAAUCUAUCCUGUUGCGGGGGACAACGAGGGGAAACUCUCGCUAAUACCGCAUGGACAAGAGAUCCGAUGGGUCUUUUGGGAAACGUGGCCUCUUUACAAUGCUACGGUGGCAGGAGGAGCUUGCGGGCUAUCAGCUAGUUGGUGAGGUAAUGGCUCACCAAGGCAGCGACGGCUACGGGGUCUGAGAGGACGACCCGCACAUUGGAACUGAGACACGGUCCAGACUCCUACGGGAGGCAGCAGUGGGGAAUAUUGGGCAAUGGCCGAAAGGCUGACCCAGCGACGCCGCGUGCGGGAGGAAGCCCUUCGGGGUGUAAACCGCUGUCGGGAGGGACG